ACACUUGGAAGGUGCUCAGCAGCUCCAGGAGGAACGAGCAAAGGUGCGGGCGGGCGUGCAGGCGGCGGAGAGCCAAACUGCGGCACAGGCCCACGGCUGCCACAACGGCUGCCAUCAGCCCCAGCGACGUCCAGAUGCCGCCCGCAGCCAUGGCCACAGUCCCACUCGCUGAGUGACUCGAAAGAGGAGUUCGCUCCGGUCCAGCCUCACUGCCUGUGGGGAGAAAUGAAGAAAGAGGGAGGGAAAAUAGCAACACUUGGCCUUACAAGGUAGAAGGCUGCUUCUUUCCCCACCUGCUUGCAGCUGUGAGGUCUCUGCCCUCAGCUCGGCUCAGCCUGACAGGGGAGCGGGCACGGGGAUCCCCGUCCCCACGGCAGCGGGGGAAGGAGGACGUCUCUCCCUUCAGUCUGCGGGGGAAGAGGGGUGCCCUCUCUGAGGCGAGGAGGAAGGGAGAACACCCCCUCACAGAGAGCCACCCGCGAGGGAAGAGACGAGCCGAUUCCUCACGCAGCCGGUUUGGAAGCUUACAUAAAUCACUGAAUAAGCGCGCACCAGCAGCCGGGCGAGAAACACUCCCCACGCAGCUCACCGCCGCCCGCCCUCCUCAGCGGGGUGGCCGCGGCCCCCGGCGGUGCUGCGCAUGCGCGAAGUCGGCUCCGCUGCUUGGAGCGGGGGGGGCGCGCGAGCUGGGCGCUUUCCCGGCCUUUGGCGCUGAGGUGACAGAGGUUUCAUUUAAGAACAGAAGGAUCUAACAUCCCCGAGUUUGAAGACAAGCUGCUUCCAAAAUACAAUAGAAGUAGAUCAAAAAGCAAAUGGGAACUCUGCUUUCUUUAUGAACUGAUGAGGAAAGACUUUAAGAGAAAAAGAGGAGGCAGCACAUCUUAGGAUUUGAAUCAGACAACUGCAACAGCAAGUUUGACCGAAGUGUGAGAAGAUUUGCUAAAUGGAGAACUUCUGUGUAGAGGCAUAACUUAGCUAUGAAAGCUGCUGCUGCAUGGCUAUUCUUGGCCUUAAAAUUGAGCAAUAGGUUUGCUGUUUGCUCUGGACCAAAGCUCCAGCUGAGUCAAGUGGAGAUUUGAAAGUUUUCAUGAGGGUUUGGCCAACUUACAGUGAAAAAGGCAUUGGAAUAUGCAUGAAAAAAAAGAGGAAAAAGAAUUUGAGCUGCUAAUUCUUCUAAGUGAGGAUCUGUGGCAAUGUGGAUUACUGCCACAUCUGAGUUUGCAACGAUGAAGAAAACUGUAUAAUGCUUGAAUUGCAAGCCGGUUGCUGUUAGAAGCACAUGAAAUAAUUAUUUGGAAGACCAAUCAGGAAGCAUUCAAAUCUUCCUUGGUGACGUGGACUACUUUAGUUGUGUUGCUUGCUGCCUUCUAGAUCUCAGACAUCAGGGGUAAGAUUAGCCUGGCACUGUGAAAGUGCUUACUCGACGUUUCAGUGUAGAAGGAGUACUGCUGGAUUUUGUGAUCCUGCUUCUCUGCCAAUGCCAAACAGGUUCACACAGAACAAGCCUUGCAUGCUGAAACCUGGUCAGUCUGAAACAGCGUGUUAGAACAAGAGUUUACAGUUGGACAUACUUUGCUUUGGGGAUCGGUGGAGAGUUUGGAGACUGAUACAGAUACCUUGCAACUGGAUACCCAUGAGAAUGAAAGAGCUGAACUGAAAGAGAUUAAGUAGCUCUUUGUACAUUCUUCCGUGUGAAGUGUAAAGAACUGAGGGCUUCAUUGUUUUGUAACCACUUAAAAAUUAAAGGGGAAAAACACUUGCUUUAGCAUGGUCCUCUUGAAUAUGGUUUUCUUAGAUGUGCUCUUCCCAGAAAUCUAGACAUAUGUGCUCUAAACAAAAAAUCCUCCAUGCAGAGAUUGCACAACAGAGCAUUGUCCACUACUUAACCUAAAUGUUUCCAACUCCAGUUCCCUAUGGGCAAGGAGCUUUCCCACACUUUCAAACACAAUCCACAUACAUCAGCAGUUGGCUCACUUUCUGCAACAGCCCUUUGAAAAUGAUUUACCUUAGGUCUCUAGGCCUUCUUUCUCUAUGCAGCCAUUUGCAUCAUACUGCCUGGGUGGGACACGGCCACCACCAGCAGAGUAAGAUUUGGUGUCAUAUCUUCAUGCAGGAUUGCUGUCUCACAAAGCAUUUGAACAGAGGCUGCCAGUCUGAUGCAAACAGCAAUAUGCAGUGUGCCUGGUUUGGUCUCCCCUGUAGUUCACCUGCCUGCUGAAGAUUAGAUCUCUGUAUGUCUAUACUGAGCCAGGUCUGUUCGAUUAGAUUUGUAUUUCCUAUUGCAGAUGCAGUCUAAAGGAAUGAUCUAGUCUGAGAACAGAGCUGGGAGACAGGAACUCCUGAAUUCAAGGAGCAUAAUUGCAGUCAUUUUUUUUUGCUGCACAGCCUCAGGCUACUGGUUGAGUGAGCUCUUAUCUCAUUUUCCCCAUCUGUAAUACUGCUCAAAGGGUGCUUUGGUGAUUAAUUUAUGCUGAUGAAUUUAAUGACUUGGUAAGAAUUGAACACUUUGAUAAGAAUUGCAACAUAUCCCAGAAAAUGUGGCAAAAAGAAGCAGAAUAGCCAGCCCUAAAACUGCUAAUUAACAAACCCAGAAAAGAUGCUGAGACUCAGGACAAGAAACCUCAUUGCAGAAAGUAAUGCAGGCUCAAUGGUGCAUUUUGUCUAAAAUGGAGAUCCCAGUCGAAGUUAUCCUUCCCCAACUAGUGCAGUGGGAUGCCUCUCUGAUUUUAGAGUGUUUGACAAUAAAGUUAGACUGAAAUCUCAGUUUUAUCUUGGGUUGUGGUGCCCAGUGAAAAGGCUCAUGUGCUGCUAUGAUGUUAUUUUGCAAGUCCUCUAGGUAGUGUAGGAAAAAUAAUGUGGAAAGGUAGUGUAGGAAAGUGUAUGUGAAGACAGACAAAACUUAUACAACUUGCACUUCCCUCACUUAAGACAACAUAUCUGGUUCCAUAUGUUAUAUUUACAACAUCAUGCAAUACAAUCAAUUUAUGAAGUUUUCCUAGGUUCUGUAGCCCAAUCUGCAACUCAUCAGUAGUUUGGAGAGCACUGAGAUGUACAUCAUACCAAAGGAAUUCUGCAGGGCCAGCUCUCUUGGCAGGCUCAAUGUGAUCUGUAUCUCCAGAGUAACUUUGGUGUUAGUGUGACCAACCAGUAUAAUUGAAUUACCAGCAUCACUGUACGCAGCCAAACUGUCCCUGAGCUUUUGCAGCUCCCUCUGUUGGAUUAACCAUGGAAGCAGCUCUUUAACGGGCAAAAUGGACAUUCCAGCUCAGCAUUUUUGGUGAGCUAAUUUUACCACACACCUAUACAAAUGACGUUGCUGAAGGCCUUUACUUUGUACUUUAAAUGCACUGUUGUUCAAAGCUGGCAGGAAAUGUUUCAAAACUCUGCAUAUUUUUUUUCUAAACAUUUCAGGCAGCUGCUCUAUAAUCUUUGUGUUAUGAUUCACUUAAUUCAUCGUGGACAUUAUGCAAAUAGGUAGGAAUGGAGAACGUUACUUUCAUAUUUUCACAGCUUCCUUGUGAAACAUCAAUACGGAUCACCCAGUGACUCCAUGUCUGUCAGUGCUCUGCAGUUUUCGGUUGCUAUCCAUGUAACCCAGUGAGACAGAAUCAGAGAUAAGGAAAGGAAUGGGGGAAGGUUUUGCUCUGCAGUUCAUUCUCCAGGGCUUUGUUCAGUCCACUUUUAAAUGGCUCAAGCUACUGAAGUGAUUCAAGCUCUGACAUUUUGGCAGGGUGUGAAACAGUGUCUGGCAGAGGUGCUGUGACUGAAGGGCUGGUUUUGUUCUCUCUGAAAUGUGUGGCAAAUGUCUCUCCAGCUUCAAUCAGAACAGGAUUGAGUCUUGGAAGUCAUGCAGUGUGAAUAAGCUCAGCAAAAGCAGCAAAAUAAUUUAACUGUUACACCAUUACAUUAUUACAAAGCCCUCCAGGCUUGCUGUCCUCUGUUUAUUUGAGUGUCCUCAUAUGUAGUGAAAGCAAGAAAAAUGAGCUGAUUUUGUUAGAUUUUGAGCACUGAAAUAGCCCUAGAUUAGUGGUCCCCAUCUGAUGUCUCAUUCAAACCACUGCAUGCAUUGCACAGCUUUUCUUUUUAAACCCUGAAGUGGAAUCUCUCCAGAGAUAUACUUUAAAAAAAUCAGUAGAGAGGAAAAACUAAUUGAUUUUUUAAGUUAUUUUUAUGAUUAUUUUCUUUCUCAGACAGCCCCUUACACUUGGGCAGCCCCCAAUGAAAGGUGAAUUUAUUGCAGUCUGUUUCACUGCUCUCUUUCAGAGUAGGUUCCCUUGUUGCC